GAUUUGUCCAGUCCUUACUAUACCAGGUGAGUCGUAGCAAUUAAGAAAGAUACAUCGCCGAUCGUCCUGGUGCUUAACCAUCGCCUGGAUCCGUGCUUCAGCCGGGGAGCCCCGUCACGACGAAGGAUCGGAGAGACUUUCCCGGCAACUGAAUUGACAAAAUGCACGCAAGACAUCGGGUGGAUUGAGUCGACUCGUCGUCCUCCUUUGAGAUUCUUUCCCGAGCCUGGCCGAGGCUUGAGGACAAACCGAGGAAUUCGACCUCGAUAAUGGGCUUCUAAACGAGGAAAUGUCAACAUAAGAGGAACCGAGGGAGUUUGCGUAAUCAACCUCAAUAAUUGGCUCCUAAACUAGGAAAUGUCGGUAUAUUCCUGUACUGUUUUAUCUAAGUUACAUAUCUCAAUAAUGAGAUGUUCUAUCCAAGCUACGUAUGUCAGUAACGAUUGGAUACAGUCAGUAUAUAACACGUUUGGUCGUGAGAUUCGUCCAGAGGGUGACUUUGGCUCGAGACCUGUCGUUCAGGCCUCGGUACUUUGACAGCAGAGCCGAUAAAGGGCAGCGGAGCACGAGCAUGGCCUCGGGAGGCACGCUGACAUCGGGAGAAGAGUCAAACAUAAAAGACGGCUCUCGCACAGGAUGCUUAACUCGAGAAGGCAUCCCCGCGACGUACGGAGGUUCUCGGGGGACAAUCAACCAAACGGAUGCAUCCGAAAUGGCGGUGAUUAAGUAAGACAGCUCUGGGGUGUGGACAAAGCCCGAGGAAGGGAUCUGUCCGCGUAAGAGAUGUACGCGGAGAGCCGUGGAGCUCAAACGGUGCUGUCAGAUACGAGGAUUGUCUCGAAAGACAUCAUGACGAGAAUGAGAGGGCUCCGGGGAGCGGAGGGAACGUGGGUGUGGAGACAAACAAAGGACAAAAAAUAAUUUGAAAAAAACGCGAAUGGAAUACAGGUAGACAGGGUACAUUAAAAGCGAUGGUUAAUAAA